UGGGGAAUCUUGCGCAAUGGGCGAAAGCCUGACGCAGCAACGCCGCGUGGAGGAUGAAGGCCCUUGGGUUGUAAACUCCUGUCGGCUGGGAAGAAAUCUUUCGGGGCUAAUACUCCCGGAAGUUGACUGUACCAGCAAAGGAAGCCCCGGCUAACUCUGUGCCAGCAGCCGCGGUAAUACAGAGGGGGCCAGCGUUAUUCGGAAUUAUUGGGCGUAAAGGGCGCGUAGGCGGCCAUGCGUGUCUUCCGUGAAAUCCCUCGGCUUAACUGAGGACGUGCGGAAGAAACUGCAAGGCUCGAGUCCGGGAGAGGGGGGUGGAAUUCCCAGUGUAGCGGUGAAAUGCGUAGAUAUUGGGAGGAACACCGGUGGCGAAGGCGGCCCCCUGGACCGGAACUGACGCUGAGGCGCGAAAGCGUGGGUAGCAAACGG
rnacentral:rRNA from 1 species